rnacentral:lncRNA from 1 species
AACGAUCGAUAGUGAUUUGAAUUUUUUUCAAUCUGAUUGGGUUCGAUCGGAUAAAAUUUUUGUCUCAAUCUGACCGAAUCUGACCGACCGUGCUCAACCCUACUUGGUCAAAUAAGGGAUGCAAGGGCUCAUGGCUUAUGGCCGAAAGACUGGCAAUGUGGUAGUGGCACAGGUGGUUGGUGGUGGCGAAGCAAGGGAUAGCCAGUUGAAAGUGGCCGGACAACAAAAAAAAAUCAAAAAAAUUUGGACAAAAUAGGAAAAAUAGGGCACCUGCUUUUGGUGGCUUUUUCAAUGAAACCCACGGUCGACAGCCAGGCACAAUGACAUGGGAAGAAGGGGAAGAA